rnacentral:rRNA from 1 species
UAACACGUGAGCAACCUGCCCUAGGCUUUGGGAUAACCCUCGGAAACGGGGGCUAAUACCGAAUAGGACCUUGCCUUGCAUGAGGCUUGGUGGAAAGUUUUUCGGCCUGGGAUGGGCUCGCGGCCUAUCAGCUUGUUGGUGGGGUGAUGGCCUACCAAGGCGACGACGGGUAGCCGGCCUGAGAGGGCGACCGGCCACACUGGGACUGAGACACGGCCCAGACUCCUACGGGAGGCAGCAGUGGGGAAUAUUGCACAAUGGGCGGAAGCCUGAUGCAGCGACGCCGCGUGAGGGAUGACGGCCUUCGGGUUGUAAACCUCUUUCAGCAGGGACGAAGCGCAAGUGACGGUACCUGCAGAAGAAGCACCGGCCAACUACGUGCCAGCAGCCGCGGUAAGACGUAGGGUGCGAGCGUUGUCCGGAUUUAUUGGGCGUAAAGAGCUCGUAGGCGGCUUGUCGCGUCGACUGUGAAAACCCGCGGCUCAACCGCGGGCCUGCAGUCGAUACGGGCAGGCUAGAGUUCGGUAGGGGAGACUGGAAUUCCUGGUGUAGCGGUGAAAUGCGCAGAUAUCAGGAGGAACACCGGUGGCGAAGGCGGGUCUCUGGGCCGAUACUGACGCUGAGGAGCGAAAGCGUGGGGAGCGAACAGGAUUAGAUACCCUGGUAGUCCACGCUGUAAACGUUGGGCGCUAGGUGUGGGGAGCCUCUC